UGAUCUUACGUCGAGUUACAUUCAGGCA
rnacentral:piRNA from 1 species